GCAAGUCGAGCGCACCUUCGGGUGAGCGGCGGACGGGUGAGUAACGCGUGGGAAUAUGCCCUUCUCUACGGAAUAGCCUCGGGAAACUGAGAGUAAUACCGUAUACGCCCUUCGGGGGAAAGAUUUAUCGGAGAAGGAUCGGCCCGCGUUAGAUUAGAUAGUUGGUGGGGUAACGGCCUACCAAGUCUACGAUCCAUAGCUGGUCUUAGAGGAUGAUC
rnacentral:rRNA from 1 species